UGGGGGAUAUUGCACAAUGGGGGGGAACCCUGAUGCAGCGACGCCGCGUGGGUGAAGAAGCGCCUCGGCGCGUAAAGCCCUGUCAGCAGGGAAGAAAAUGACGGUACCUGAAGACGAAGCCCCGGCUAACUACGUGCC
rnacentral:rRNA from 1 species